rfam:Botryotinia fuckeliana T4 unplaced genomic scaffold Contig_2032_B_V3__V4, whole genome shotgun sequence.
GGCCCGCUGGCGCAAUGGUAGCGCAUUGCUUUCCGGUAGCAAAGGCUGUGGGUUCGAGUCCCAUGCGGGUCG